rnacentral:rRNA from 1 species
UCAAGCGAAUAAGCGCACACGGUGGAUGCCUUGGCGGUCAGAGGCGAUGAAGGACGUGGCAGCCUGCGAAAAGUAUCGGGGAGCUGGCAACAAGCUUUGAUCCGGUAAUGUCCGAAUGGGGAAACCCACCCGCUUGCGGGUAUCCUGCAGUGAAUACAUAGCUGCUGGAAGCGAACCUGGUGAACUGAAAUAUCUAAGUAACCAGAGGAAAAGAAAUCAACCGAGAUUCCGUAAGUAGCGACGAGCGAACGCGGACUAGCCCUUAAGCUGGAUUGGUUCUAGGAAAACGCUCUGGAAAGAGCGGCCAUAGAAGGUGAUAGCCCUGUAUCUGAAAGGGCCAUUCCAGUGAAGACGAGUAGGGCGGGGCACGUGAAACCCUGUCUGAACAUGGGGGGACCAUCCUCCAAGGCUAAAUACUACUGACCGACCGAUAGUGAACCAGUACCGUGAGGGAAAGGCGAAAAGAACCCCGGAGAGGGGAGUGAAAUAGAACCUGAAACCGUGUGCGUACAAGCAGUAGGAGCUCCGCAAGGAGUGACUGCGUACCUUUUGUAUAAUGGGUCAGCGACUUACUGUUCGUGGCAAGCUUAACCGUAUAGGGGAGGCGAAGGGAAACCGAGUCUGAUAAGGGCGCAUAGUCGCGGGCAGUAGACCCGAAACCGGGUGAUCUAGUCAUGCCCAGGGUGAAGGUGCGGUAACACGCACUGGAGGCCCGAACCCACUCCCGUUGCAAAGGUAGGGGAUGAGGUGUGAUUAGGAGUGAAAAGCUAAUCGAACCCGGAGAUAGCUGGUUCUCCUCGAAAGCUAUUUAGGUAGCGCCUCAUAUGUAUCCUCUCGGGGGUAGAGCACUGUUAUGGCUAGGGGGUCAUCGCGACUUACCAAACCAUUGCAAACUCCGAAUACCGAGACGGACUGUAUGGGAGACACACGGCGGGUGCUAACGUCCGUCGUGAAAAGGGAAACAACCCAGACCCACAGCUAAGGUCCCAAAUUUUGUGCUAAGUGGAAAACCAUGUGGAAAGGCACAGACAGCCAGGAGGUUGGCUUAGAAGCAGCCACCCUUUAAAGAAAGCGUAAUAGCUCACUGGUCGAGUCGGUCUGCGGGGAAGAUUUAACGGGGCUAAGCACAGAACCGAAGCUUGGGGUGCAUAACUUUGUUAUGCGCGGUAGAGGAGCGUUCCGUAAGCCGUUGAAGGUGGAUUGAGAAGUCUGCUGGAGGUAUCGGAAGUGCGAAUGCUGACAUGAGUAACGAUAAUGCGGGUGAAAAACCCGCACGCCGAAAGCCCAAGGUUUCCUUGCGCAACGUUAAUCGGCGCAGGGUGAGUCGGCCCCUAAGGCGAGGACGAAAGUCGUAGUCGAUGGGAAGCAGGUUAAUAUUCCUGCACCUCGCGUAAGUGCGAUGGAGGGACGGAGAAGGUUAGGUGUACCAGGCGUUGGUUGUCCUGGGGAAAGGCGGUAGGUUUGGAUCUUUGGCAAAUCCGGGAUCCUCUAAGACCGAGCACCGAGACGAGCCUUUAAGGCGAAGUCACUGAUACCACGCUUCCAGGAAAAGCUCCUAAGCUUCAGCUUACGCAGACCGUACCGUAAACCGACACAGGUGGGUAGGAUGAGAAUUCUCAGGCGCUUGAGAGAACUCGGGUGAAGGAACUAGGCAACAUGGCACCGUAACUUCGGGAGAAGGUGCACCCUUUUUGGUGGCUCGUGCGAGCUAUAGCUGAAGAGGGUCGCAGUAACCAGGCCGCUGCGACUGUUUAUCAAAAACACAGCACUCUGCAAACACGAAAGUGGACGUAUAGGGUGUGACGCCUGCCCGGUGCUGGAAGGUUAAUUGAUGGGGUCAGCCGCAAGGCGAAGCUCUUGAUCGAAGCCCCAGUAAACGGCGGCCGUAACUAUAACGGUCCUAAGGUAGCGAAAUUCCUUGUCGGGUAAGUUCCGACCUGCACGAAUGGCGUAACGACAGCGGCGCUGUCUCCACCCGAGACUCAGUGAAAUUGAAAUCGCUGUGAAGAUGCAGCGUUCCCGUGGCAAGACGGAAAGACCCCGUGAACCUUUACUAUAGCUUUACACUGAACGUUGAGUUCGUCUGUGUAGGAUAGGUGGGAGGCUAUGAAACUGUGGCGCUAGCUGCAGUGGAGCCAUCCUUGAAAUACCACCCUGUCGUGCUUGACGUUCUAACCUGGGCCCAUUAUCUGGGUCGGGGACCGUGUAUGGUGGGUAGUUUGACUGGGGCGGUCUCCUCCUAAAGAGUAACGGAGGAGCUCGAAGGUACGCUCAGCGCGGUCGGACAUCGCGCACUGUGUGCAAAGGCAUAAGCGUGCUUGACUGCAAGAUCGACGGAUCAAGCAGGUAGGAAACUAGGACUUAGUGAUCCGGUGGUUCUGUAUGGAAGGGCCAUCGCUCAACGGAUAAAAGGUACUCCGGGGAUAACAGGCUGAUACCGCCCAAGAGUUCAUAUCGACGGCGGUGUUUGGCACCUCGAUGUCGGCUCAUCACAUCCUGGGGCUGUAGUCGGUCCCAAGGGUAUGGCUGUUCGCCAUUUAAAGUGGUACGCGAGCUGGGUUCAGAACGUCGUGAGACAGUUCGGUCCCUAUCUGCCAUGGGCGUUGGAGAUUUGAGAGGGGCUGCUCCUAGUACGAGAGGACCGGAGUGGACGAACCUCUGGUGUUCCGGUUGUCACGCCAGUGGCAUUGCCGGGUAGCUAUGUUCGGAAGCGAUAACCGCUGAAAGCAUCUAAGCGGGAAGCGCGCCUCAAGAUGAGAUCUCCCGGGGCACAAGCCCCCUGAAGGAACCAUGUAGACUACGUGGUUGAUAGGUCAGGUGUGUAAGUACAGCAAUGUAUUGAGCUAACUGAUACUAAUGAUCCGUGCGGCUUGACCAU